ACACCUGUGUAUGAACAGUGGGCACCAUUCUUGUCCUUUGUAACAAACCGGGUACACCAAGCUCAACUGGCUGCUGAGAAAAGUGACCUGAAUGUGGUCUCACAUGUGCAUCUUCUAAAAAUCUGAAAGAUGAAAGGCACAGUGAAAAACAGUUAUGCUUCAAAUGGUGUGUUUGAAAGCAACAUUACUUAACUUUUAGCAACAAGGCCCACAGAGGGAGAACAGGAGACUUUCCUCCUUGGACGUUGUGCACUCUCAUCUGUGGAACCGAUGUCUCAAUGGCGAUGUCACAGCCCUUCUUCAAUGGCAUCUUCUGUUCUCCUUGUAUGCCCAUGCAGGUGUGAGUGUGACUCCAUCUCACGCGUUUGAAGUCAAACAGAACCACUGUUAGCCUCAUAAAUACUACAGGCACUCGCCAGCACUUCAGGGUGCAGCUAACGAAGGGGAAACGGGUCUCGCAUGCAGCUCGGUACUACCUGUGUGACAGGUCCUGUGCUGUCAGAGUAUCACAUACCUUCCGCCGGCUUGGCGAAACACUUCUGGAGUUGAACGGUGAGGCAGGAAGACCGCGUUCAAGAUCCUUCUUGUAUUUCUCAAGGGCUUGAAUUAGCCUGUCUCUUUUCUGCUGGUCCUUGUCUGUACAGACUAUCCCGUCUCCUCUCAAUACCAAGUAGCAGACAGAGAAGACAAUCACUGCUUUUUACAGUUGGCACUUGCUGCUUCCAUGCUCAGCACACACCUGGAUUUGAAAUAAACGCAGGCCAGGACUCCACUACGCCCCUCACACAGUGAGGCAGGACAACAGUGGUCUACCCGAGACAUGACUGAGCCUUCACCAAGCCUUGCUAAGAACAAGAAAAUAAAAUGUUCCGGGUCAAACAGCCACAGCCAGUGCCACACAAAGGGAUACAAGAGCAGUUCCUCGUGAUGUUCACAUCUAUGGGCCAAAUGCUCCAGUCUGCACUGGGAAUAGUUUGUUUGGUGUAGGACUGCUUAUUUUGGCAUUUCAGAGCAAACAAGACCAUUCCUUCAGCAGAAACCAGUGCCUGCCAUUGAAACGCGUGGUAUCCGACACAGAUCACACAUUUGGUGACAAAAAGCCUGCCAGAAGGGCACUGGUGUAAAGACCUGCUUUCAACAGCCUGUCCAGGAGCAGCAUCACAUCACAUCAUGACCAGCCGCAGAAAGGUAGUGGUGUUACCUCACCUCCAGGACCAUCCAUUGUGAUUGUUCAUUGAACAUGUAAGGACAGCCCGGGUGCUUACAUCACGACACAAACAGGCACAGAGACACCAACAGACAUAAUGACUCUGUUUUCUACAAAGCAAUGGAGAACUUGCUGUAAAAUUAUCACCAAACUGCACUUAUCUCUUGUCUCAAUGAAAUUUAGCAGAAGUAGUACAGGUGCCACAAUGGAAUCUGAUACUUGAAGCAGACAAAUAGAAAGCUCACACAAUUUCUAAUCAUGAGCAUUUACCAUAUGUCCAAUGUCAACCAGGAAAACCACUCCUGGGUCUCAGUACCGUACUAAAGAAAUCAGAUAGUUAAAAUCAGUACUAUUCUGUUUCAAAGCUUUUAUGUGUUUGAGACCAGUAGUAAUUCACUUCCAAAACUUCAAAAACUUAAUCUUUUUCAUUAAUCUUGCCAAUUGUGCUGUAACCUCCUGCUGGCAAAAGCAACUGGAACAAGCUCUUCAGUAAUAUUCAGCACCACUCGUAGCUGGUGUAAAGUGGGGCAGCUCUACUGAGUUCAAGGAAUAGCAAUGCCCUAAAUCACAGCAGCUAGAGGCUCUUGCCACUAAGGAAAAGAAAAUAGUAUUUUGGGAAAUGCCCCAAAUCUUUCUCUGAUUGGCUGUGACAGCCCGAUUUCAAUAUAUGCAGUGAAAAAGACAGCAUGACAGAACAAUGUGAUAAUCCAAAGAAUCUCUGAGGAUUAAAAAGGGAUGGAAAAUCCAUUUAUAAAAAGAACAUUCUUCUCAAAAUUAAUUACCACCCCAAAUUUGAAAUGCUGAAGAUAUACAAGGCACUAGUAGUUUAAUCUAAUUUUUUGUCUUUCAUAAAAUCUAACUCUAUCAUGUGUCCAGAAAAUUACGAACAUUGUGCAAUAAGCAGCAUUGUGGUUAUUCCUAUGUAAGGAAAAAAAAAGCAAAUUAUUUUCUUUGCCAAAGACUUUCUGUUGAACUUUGGCAAGUCAUUUUUUCUUUCUCUGUCUCAAGCUCUCUGAAAGAAGGACAUGAAAAAACACAUCUAUUUCUCAACGAAGAUGUUUUAAGACUAAAAACAAUAAAAUGGGGAGAUUUAGGGGGUGCCUAUCUAAGUAUUUCCCAUCCCUAGAGAGGGUCAUCUUAUAUGACCUCACUGGAAAGUUCACACUUUUUAACAGAUUUUUCUUUUGUUUACUUUUACAUCUUCGAAUAACUUCAAAUUGAGGGAAAUGUUAAAUAGAAAUCUUUCGGGAAUUUUAAGUUGCCCUGUUACGAGGCUCUGUUGAUGGGCCAAACACACAUCAGGUCAAAUUGAAACAGUUCCUUUGUGGGCUGCAAAGGCAGACAGAGUUCUCAAGCUCAUGUCUGAACAGAAUCAAACCCCUGUACUUUCUGCUGUCUUAUAUAGAUCUCAUUUACCUGCAACAUUUAGCAAAUCGCUUUAUCCAAGUUUUCAACAUUUCAGAGUUUCAAAAUUUUCUGUGUAUGAGCACAGAUCUACCUGCAGAAAGUUGCCUGCUUUUGAGUCUAAAUUCUGAGUACUUUUGUGCUCUCAAGACAUUUACAUCUUGCUUCUUUGUGUGAGGAUAGAUCUCCAGGAAACACAGAUCCAAGAAUGAGCAAUA